rnacentral:rRNA from 1 species
AUGCAGUUGGAGCUGGGGUUGGAGAUUCACAGAUCGGUCGGAGGUGAGGUUGGUGAAAACCAGUCCUUGACGGCGGAUGAUGGCGGCAUCUUGGGGCGUCGUUACCUUGAUGUCUCCCGCCUCAGGUUGCUCCGGGAAACUCUAGAUCUGGGCCUCCUAGAUCGGACUAUGUCGACGUUCGGCGUUGUUAUACCUCCUGGGGACAUCGUUUUGGAGCAACUACUGGCUAGAGGGGUGGCUGGGCCUCCGCAUGCUUCUCGUGCGGUGACCAAGGUGGAGCGGCAUGCCAUCGACCUACCAUUUGAUGGGCACGCGCAGGAGGCUGGUGUUGUCCGACGUCGUGAUGACAUCAACAGCAGAAGGGUCUACUUGCCCCUUAAGAUGAGGGCACAUCAUCAACCUCGUAGGUAUGUGAGGGCACAUCAUCAACCUCAUAGGUAUGUGACUUUCGGUUGA